rnacentral:rRNA from 1 species
AGUGAACGCUGGCGGUAGGCCUAACACAUGCAAGUCGAACGGCAGCACAGUAAGAGCUUGCUCUUACGGGUGGCGAGUGGCGGACGGGUGAGGAAUACAUCGGAAUCUACUUUUUCGUGGGGGAUAACGUAGGGAAACUUACGCUAAUACCGCAUACGACCUCCGGGUGACAGCAGGUGAUCUUCGGACCUUUCGCCAUUGAAUGAGCCGAUGUCGGAUUAGCUAGUUGGCGGGGUAAACGCCCACCAAGGCGACGAUCCGUAGCUGGUCUGAGAGGAUGAUGCGCCACACUAGAACGUAGACACAGUCCAGACUCCUACGGGAGGCCGCAGUGGGGAAUAUUGGACAAUGGGCGCAAGCCUGAUCCAGCCAUACCGCGUGGGUGAAGAAGGCCUUCGGGUGGUAAAGCCCUUUUGUUGGGAAAGAAAAGCAGCAGGUUAAUACCCCGCUGUUCUGACGGUACCCAAAGAAUAAGCACCGGCUAACUUCGUG